rfam:Fungal sp. No.14919 DNA, contig: Contig0102.
UAUUUCUUCUGACGCGACACAACAUCCAGCAGCGGUGUUGUGCGACCUGCAGUGUCCGUCAGUCGAAGCG